rnacentral:rRNA from 1 species
GUGUCAGCAGCCGCGGUAAUACAGAGGGUGCGAGCGUUGUUCGGAAUUAUUGGGCGUAAAGCGCGAGUAGGCGGCUUGUUAAGUCGCGUGUGAAAGCUCCCGGCUCAACCGGGAAAGUGCGCGCGAAACUGGCGAGCUUGAGUGCUGGAGAGGGUGGCGGAAUUCCCGGUGUAGAGGUGAAAUUCGUAGAUAUCGGGAGGAACACCAGAGGCGAAGGCGGCCACCUGGAAAGACACUGACGCUGAGAAGCGAAAGCGUGGGGAGCAAACAGGAUUAGAUACCCUGGUAGUCC